CGUGUAGGCGGGAUUGCAAGUCAGAUGUGAAAUUCCGAGGCUUAACCUCGGCGCUGCAUCUGAAACUGUGAUUCUUGAGUACUGGAGAGGAUAGUGGAAUUCCUAGUGUAGCGGUGAAAUGCGUAGAUAUUAGGAGGAACACCAGUGGCGAAGGCGGCUAUCUGGACAGUAACUGACGCUGAGGCGCGAAAGCGUGGGGAGCAAACA
rnacentral:rRNA from 1 species